rnacentral:tRNA from 1 species
GGGCGAUUAGCUCAGUGGGAGAGCGCUUCCUUCACACGGAAGAGGUCGCAGGUUCAAUCCCUGCAUCGCCUA